ACCAUCCUUUUCCUGGGGUUGCGCUACUACUGUCCAAUGAGUGCCUAGUGAGAGCAGUACAGCUAACUCCUGCACAACACACCAAAAUUAGCUAGAGCUUUACUUUACCUUGGUGCAGUUUUUGGAAAA
ensembl:snRNA